rnacentral:rRNA from 1 species
CCGUGUGGAAGGGCCGUAGCUUAACGGAUAAAAGCUACCCCGGGGAUAACAGGCUUAUCUUGCCCAAGAGUUCACAUCGACGGCAAGGUUUGGCACCUCGAUGUCGGCUCGUCGCAUCCUGGGGCUGAAGCAGGUCCCAAGGGUUGGGCUGUUCGCCCAUUAAAGCGGCACGCGAGCUGGGUUCAGACCGUCGUGAGACAGGUCGGUCUCUAUCCGUCGUGGGCGUCCGGAGAUUUGAGGGGAGCUCUCUCUAGUACGAGAGGACCGAGAGGGACAGACCUAUGGUGUGCCAGUUGUCCCGCCAGGGGCAUCGCUG